UGGCUCAGAUUGAACGCUAGCGGGAUGCCUUACACAUGCAAGUCGAACGGCAGCACGGACUUCGGUCUGGUGGCGAGUGGCGAACGGGUGAGUAAUGUAUCGGAACGUGCCUAGUAGCGGGGGAUAACUACGCGAAAGCGUAGCUAAUACCGCAUACGCCCUACGGGGGAAAGCAGGGGAUCGCAAGACCUUGCACUAUUAGAGCGGCCGAUAUCGGAUUAGCUAGUUGGUGGGGUAACGGCUCACCAAGGCGACGAUCCGUAGCUGGUUUGAGAGGACGACCAGCCACACUGGGACUGAGACACGGCCCAGACUCCUACGGGAGGCAGCAGUGGGGAAUUUUGGACAAUGGGGGAAACCCUGAUCCAGCCAUCCCGCGUGUGCGAUGAAGGCCUUCGGGUUGUAAAGCACUUUUGGCAGGAAAGAAACGUUCCGGGUUAAUACCCCGGGAAACUGACGGUACCUGCAGAAUAAGCACCGGCUAACUACGUGCCAGCAGCCGCGGUAAUACGUAGGGUGCAAGCGUUAAUCGGAAUUACUGGGCGUAAAGCGUGCGCAGGCGGUUCGGAAAGAAAGAUGUGAAAUCCCAGAGCUUAACUUUGGAACUGCAUUUUUAACUACCGAGCUAGAGUGUGUCAGAGGGAGGUGGAAUUCCGCGUGUAGCAGUGAAAUGCGUAGAUAUGCGGAGGAACACCGAUGGCGAAGGCAGCCUCCUGGGAUAACACUGACGCUCAUG
rnacentral:rRNA from 2 species